AUUUCCGAAUGGGGAAACCCAGUGUGUUUCGACACACUAUCAUUAACUGAAUCCAUAGGUUAAUGAGGCGAACCGGGGGAACUGAAACAUCUAAGUACCCCGAGGAAAAGAAAUCAACCGAGAUUCCCCCAGUAGCGGCGAGCGAACGGGGAGGAGCCCAGAGCCUGAAUCAGUGUGUGUGUUAGUGGAAGCGUCUGGAAAGGCGCGCGAUACAGGGUGACAGCCCCGUACACAAAAAUGCACAUAUUGUGAGCUCGAUGAGUAGGGCGGGACACGUGGUAUCCUGUCUGAAUAUGGGGGGACCAUCCUCCAAGGCUAAAUACUCCUGACUGACCGAUAGUGAACCAGUACCGU
rnacentral:rRNA from 1 species